rnacentral:rRNA from 1 species
GAUGAACGCUGGCGGCGUGCCUAAUACAUGCAAGUCGAACGGGGAGUAGCAAUACUCUUAGUGGCGAACGGGUGAGUAACGCGUUGGUACCUGCCCCGAAGCGGGGGAUAACGGACCGAAAGGUCCGCUAAUACCCCAUGUGCUCGGUAACGAGUAAAGGUGAAAACCACUUUGGGAGGGGCCUGCGUCCCAUCAGCUAGUUGGUAAGGUAACGGCUUACCAAGGCGAUGACGGGUAGGGGACCUGAGAGGGUGGCCCCCCACAAUGGAACUGAAACACGGUCCAUACACCUACGGGUGGCAGCAGUAGGGAAUAUUGGUAAUGGGCGCAAGCCUGAGCCAGCAACGCCGCGUGUGCGAUGACGGCCUUCGGGUUGUAAAGCACUUUUGACUGGGACGAGGAAGGACGGUACCGGUCGAAUCAGCCUCGGCUAACUACGUG